GCCGAUGUGGCGAAACCGGUAGACGCGCAUGCCUCAGACGCAUGUGAGAGUUCUCUCGUGGAGGUUCGAGUCCUCUCGUCGGCACCA
rnacentral:tRNA from 1 species